rnacentral:rRNA from 1 species
UACGUAGGGGCUAGCGUUGUCCGGAAUCAUUGGGCGUAAAGCGCGUGUAGGCGGACUCUUAAGUCGGGGUGAAAUCCUGGAGCUCAACUCCAGAACUGCCUUCGAUACUGAGGAGUCUUGAGUUCGGGAGAGGUGAGUGGAACUGCGAGUGUAGAGGUGAAAUUCGUAGAUAUUCGCAAGAACACCAGUGGCGAAGGCGGCUCACUGGCCCGAUACUGACGCUGAGGUGCGAAAGCGUGGGAGCAACAGGAU